rnacentral:rRNA from 1 species
GACGAACGCUGGCGGCGUGCUUAACACAUGCAAGUCGAGCGGAGCGGCGAACGGGUGAGUAACGCGUGAGUAACUGCCCCCCUCUCUGGGAUAACAGUUGGAAACGGCUGCUAAUACCGGAUAGUGGGGGAUGACUCGCGUCCAAUCAGCUUGUUGGUGAGGUAACGGCCCACCAAGGGGACGAUGGGUAGCCGGCCUGAGAGGGUGAACGGCCCCAUUGGACUGAGAGACGGUCCAAAAUCCUACGGGAGGCAGCAGUGGGGAAUAUUGCACAAUGGGGGAAACUCUGAUGCAGCAACGCCGCGUGCGUGAUGACGGCCUUCGGGUUGUAAACCGCUUUCAGCCAUGACGCGGUAGUUGCAGAAGAAGCACCGGCUAACUACGUGCCAGCAGCCGCGGUAAUUC